AUGGCGACAGAAUCUGUACAAGGUGUGAAAAGAGGAGGAAGAAAUAUUCACUGGAGCUGGGGAAACUGUCAGGACAGUGAUGUCACAGGCAAAACCAGCAAUCAAGGCCAAGGAGACGAGAGCCCUGCCCCCUCUCUAGGGCAUCCUUCUUACACAGGCCACCACAGCCCUGAUUCCACCAUGGGCUGCAGGCUGCUCUGCUGUGUGGCCCUCUGUCUCCUGGGAGCAGCACUCCCCAUGGACACUGGAAUUACACAGUCACCAAAACACCUGGUCAUGGGAAUGAGAAAUAAGAAGUCUUUGAAAUGUGGACAACAUCUGGGACAUAAUGCUAUGUAUUGGUAUAAACAGAGUGCACAGAAGCCCCUGGAACUCAUGUUUGUCUACAACUAUAAGAAACUCACUGAGAACGAGAGUGUUCCAAGUCGCUUCUCACCUGAAUGUCCAGAUGACUCCCUCUUAUACCUUCACAUGGAUGCCCUGGAGCCAGAAGACUCCGCUGUGUAUUUCUGUGCCAGCAGCAAAGACACAGCCCUGCAGAGUCACCUUCUCCCUGUGCACAAACCUCCUGGGUCCAGCCAGGAAGCUGUGGGGGCAACCAAGGCUCAGUUCAACAUUUCCUGGAGGGCCCCAGGCAGAAAACUCAGACUGUAA